GCCACGGUGGGCUAGCGGUUAGAACGCUGGCCUUGUAAUCCUGGGGUCUCGGGUUCGAUUCCCGGCGGUGCCC
rfam:Zootermopsis nevadensis contig26529, whole genome shotgun sequence.